ACACUGACGUCGCGACGCAUAUCAAUAAGCGGAGGAAAAGAAACUAACAAGGAUUCCCUUAGUAACGGCGAGUGAAGCGGGAAGAGCUCAAAUUUGAAAUCUUCAAGGUUCUACCUUGACGAAUUGUAGUUUAAAGAAGUGUUUUCUGUUAGAUGAGUAGGCAAAAGUUCCUUUGGAAUAGGGACAUCAUAGAGGGUGAGAAUCCCGUAUUUGGUCAUUCCUUCUAGCUUCGUGAUACACUUUCAAAGAGUCGGAUUGUUUGGGAAUGCAGUCCAAAAUGGGUGGUAAAUUUCAUCUAAAGCUAAAUAUUGGCGAGAGACCGAUAGCGAACAAGUACCGUGAGGGAAAGAUGAAAAGAACUUUGAAAAGAGAGUUAAACAGUACGUGAAAUUGUCAAAAGGGAAGCGUUUGACACCAGUGUUGUUUUUCCGAAAAUCAAUUACGAAUGGCUUGAUUUUGUGUUGUAUUGACCUUAUCAGCUUUCUUCACUUUUUUCGAGUCUUUCUUAAUGCACUUUUCGGUUAACAAGUCAACAUCAAUUUCUUUUGUUGUAAAAGAGUAUUCGGAAGGUGGCUUUCUUUUCGGAGAAAGUGUUUAUAGCCCUAUACUUCUACAAUCGGAGAGAUUGAGGUCUGCAGCGUAGAUCCUUCGGGGUUAGAUACACUUGUGCUAAGUUGUAGCUUUUCAUAGACAACUUGUUGACUAUGUUUAGUCAUUGUAGGCUUACUCGCUUGUGCUAUUUUACCUACGCUUAGGAUGUUGAGUCGUAGAGCACGCAG
rnacentral:rRNA from 1 species